ACCUCCCAUCCGUGUCUAUUGUACCCUGUUGCUUCGGCGGGCCCGCCGCUUGUCGGCCGCCGGGGGGGCGCCUCUGCCCCCCGGGCCCGUGCCCGCCGGAGACCCCAACACGAACACUGUCUGAAAGCGUGCAGUCUGAGUUGAUUGAAUGCAAUCAGUUAAAACUUUCAACAAUGGAUCUCUUGGUUCCGGCAUCGAUGAAGAACGCAGCGAAAUGCGAUAACUAAUGUGAAUUGCAGAAUUCAGUGAAUCAUCGAGUCUUUGAACGCACAUUGCGCCCCCUGGUAUUCCGGGGGGCAUGCCUGUCCGAGCGUCAUUGCUGCCCUCAAGCCCGGCUUGUGUGUUGGGUCGCCGUCCCCCUCUCCGGGGGGACGGGCCCGAAAGGCAGCGGCGGCACCGCGUCCGAUCCUCGAGCGUAUGGGGCUUUGUCACAUGCUCUGUAGGAUUGGCCGGCGCCUGCCGACGUUUUCCAACCAUUCUUUCCAGGUUGACCUCGGAUCAGGUAGGGAUACCCGCUGAACUUAAGCAUAUCA
rnacentral:rRNA from 1 species